CGAACGGGCGAGGAAUACAUCGGGAAACGUACCCCAGGCACAGGGAUAGCUGUGGGAAACCGCAGGUAAUACCUGAUGAGACCACAGUGUCAUAAGGCACAGCGGUCAAAGGGUGGGGACCUUCGGGCCUAUCGGCCUGGGAGCGGCCCAUGUCCUAUCAGCUUGUUGGUGAGGUAACGGCUCACCAAGGCGACGACGGGUACCGGGACUGAGAGGUUGACCCGGCGCAUUGGGACUGAGACACUGCCCAGACUCCUACGGGAGGCUGCAGUAACGAAUAUUGGGCUAAUGUGCGAAAGCAUGACCCAGCAAUGCCGCGUGUGGGAAGAAGCCCUUCGGGGUGUAAACCACUGUCAGGGGUUAGCAAGCAAUCCGGUCGAAUAGGCCGGUGCGUUGAGCAGCCCCAGAGGAAGCCACGGCUAACUUCGUGCCAGCAGCCGCGGUAAGACGAAGGUGGCAAGCGUUGUUCGGAAUCACUGGGCUUAAAGGGCACGCAGGCGGCUGAUCAAGUGUCUUGUGAAAUCCCUCGACUCAACCGAGGAAUUGCAGGGCAAACUGGUCGGCUUGAGGCAGGUAGGGGCAAGUGGAACUCUUGGUGGAGCGGUGGAAUGCGUAGAUAUCAAGAGGAACGCCAGUGGCGAAAGCGACUUGCUAGGCCUGUCCUGACGCUGAGGUGCGAAAGCCAGGGGAGCGAACGGGAUUAGAUACCCCGGUAGUCCUGGCCCUAAACGAUGUCCACUAGGUCGGAGGUUCUCUGACGGAGUUCCGGCCGAAACGAAAGCGUUAAGUGGACCGCCUGGGGAGUACGGUCGCAAGGCUAAAACUCAAAGGAAUUGACGGGGGCUCACACAAGCGGUGGAGCAUGUUGCUUAAUUCGAUGCAACGCGAAGAACCUUAUCCUGGGCUUGACAUGUUCGGAUGCCCUCCUGGAAACAGGUCGGGUUGCCCUUCGGGGUGAAACGUUCACAGGUGCUGCAUGGCUGUCGUCAGCUCGUGUCGUGAGAUGUUGGGUUAAGUCCCGUAACGAGCGAAACCCUUGUCGGUAGCACCCAGCGUGUAAUGGCGUGGACUCUAGCGAGACUGACGGUGUUAAACCGGAGGAAGGUGG
rnacentral:rRNA from 1 species